rnacentral:rRNA from 1 species
UGGGAUUCAAUAUGAGGCGGGCUGGACCUCUCGGGGUUACAGCCUUGCUGAAUUAUUCACCCUUGUCUUUUGCGUACUUCUUGUUUCCUUGGUGGGUUCGCCCACCACUAGGACAAACAUAAACCUUUUGUAAUUGCAAUCAGCGUCAGUAACAAAUUAAUAAUUACAACUUUCAACAACGGAUCUCUUGGUUCUGGCAUCGAUGAAGAACGCAGCGAAAUGCGAUAAGUAGUGUGAAUUGCAGAAUUCAGUGAAUCAUCGAAUCUUUGAACGCACAUUGCGCCCUUUGGUAUUCCAAAGGGCAUGCCUGUUCGAGCGUCAUUUGUACCCUCAAGCUUUGCUUGGUGUUGGGCGUCUUGUCUCUAGCUUUGCUGGAGACUCGCCUUAAAGUAAUUGGCAGCCGGCCUACUGGUUUCGGAGCGCAGCACAAGUCGCACUCUCUAUCAGCAAAGGUCUAGCAUCCAUUAAGCCUUUUUUUCAACUUUUGACCUCGGAUCAGGUAGGGAUACCCGCUGAACUUAAGCAUAUCAAAAGGCCGGAGGAA